rnacentral:sRNA from 1 species
UCGUAUCGAUAGAUUGGGAUAGUCUUCAAAUAAAUUAGAAAAACCCGAGAUGACUUCUUUUGUUAAUGGCGGGCCACAAAUAUCAUGAAAUGAUAAAGUCGUAAGACCAGUGGAUUACAAAGGCAAGAAGCUCUCUUAUCAUUGAUACUCGGACUUUUCAUCAUAUCAUCGAUGCGGCUCUUUU